rnacentral:misc_RNA from 1 species
UACGGAGGGUGCAAGCGUUGUUCGGAAUCAUUGGGCGUAAAGCGCGCGCAGGUGGCCUGUUAAGUCUGGUGUGAAAGCCCGGGGCUCAACCCCGGAAGUGCACUGGAAACUGAUGGGCUUGAGUUCGAGAAGGGUCAGUGGAAUUCCUGGUGUAGGGGUGAAAUCCGUAGAUAUCAGGAGGAACACCGGCGGCGAAAGCGACUGACUGGAUCGAUACUGACGCUGAGGCGCGAAAGCGUGGGGAGCAAACAGG